GUCGAACGGCAGCACGGGAGCAAUCCUGGUGGCGAGUGGCGAACGGGUGAGUAAUAUAUCGGAACGUGCCCAGUCGUGGGGGAUAACGCAGCGAAAGCUGUGCUAAUACCGCAUACGAUCUAUGGAUGAAAGCGGGGGAUCGCAAGACCUCGCGCGAUUGGAGCGGCCGAUAUCAGAUUAGGUAGUUGGUGAGGUAAAGGCUCACCAAGCCGACGAUCUGUAGCUGGUCUGAGAGGACGACCAGCCACACUGGAACUGAGACACGGUCCAGACUCCUACGGGAGGCAGCAGUGGGGAAUUUUGGACAAUGGGCGCAAGCCUGAUCCAGCAAUGCCGCGUGCAGGAUGAAGGCCUUCGGGUUGUAAACUGCUUUUGUACGGAACGAAAAGGUUCUUUCUAAUAAGGAGAGCUUAUGACGGUACCGUAAGAAUAAGCACCGGCUAACUACGUGCCAGCAGCCGCGGUAAUACGUAGGGUGCGAGCGUUAAUCGGAAUUACUGGGCGUAAAGCGUGCGCAGGCGGUAAUGCAAGACAGAUGUGAAAUCCCCGGGCUUAACCUGGGAACUGCAUUUGUGACUGCAUUGCUGGAGUGCGGCAGAGGGGGAUGGAAUUCCGCGUGUAGCAGUGAAAUGCGUAGAUAUGCGGAGGAACACCGAUGGCGAAGGCAAUCCCCUGGGCCUGCACUGACGCUCAUGCACGAA
rnacentral:rRNA from 1 species